CUGGCAGCUGAAUGAAGCCAGAGCAAUGGAGCUGACGGAAUAGGGAGAGUGAGAGUUCGGGGAGACCAAAGACGAAGAAACUGUGAAUGGGACACACUGGUAGACAACUGACCAGAGAAAGGAAAUGAAAGAAGAGGAGCAUCCUGUGGAGAUGAAGGACUUUUCAAAAGGAAGCGACAACAGAAAAAAUAGUAAGGCUCAGCUGCUUUCAGGAGGUAAAGUGGAAAUAAGUGCAGUGAAACUCCACAGGAGGCAGUGAGACAUUGAAGGCAUCAUGGGUGACUGCGUAAAGUGCAAGAUUAUGUCAACAAACAGAAGCAGCAGCAACAGUUUCCACCUCCAGUUAAAGUGGAUGGCCAUGUCCUGGUAGCGUUGCCGUUGUGCCAUACUUCAUUUCCAGGUUCAGAUGAUGGAUUGGACAGAGCUUGACCAACAUGAACUUGUACUCGUGGUCUACAGCUUAUGCGGGACCAGGUCGCAGGGUCAGCAGUCUAAAUUGAGACGCCCAGACUUCCCUCUCCCCAGACACCUCCAUCUCCCUUGGGGAAGCCCGAGGCGUUCUCAGGCCAGCCAAGAGAUAUAGUCCCUCCUGCUGUCCCCUAGGCCUCCUCCCAGAGGGAUGUGUCUGGAACACCUCCCGCCACCUCAACUGACUCAUCUCGAUGUGGAGGAGUAGUGGCUUUACUCCGAGCUGCUCCCAGAUGGCCGAGCUCCUCACCCUCUUUCUAAGGGAGUGCCUAGCCACCCUGCGGAGAUGGACUAUCAGAUGUCAUUUUAGUAAAAAAUAAAUGGGGUUGAAGUAAAAUAGUUGAGAUUUUUCAGAUUUCUAUUUAUAGAACAGUGUUUCGUUUUUGAUCCAUUGUGAUUGUAGCCUAACAAAUUGCAAAAAAACACCAAUAUAUUGUCUAUGUAUGCUGUUAUCUUGCUAGUUUUACACCAGAUGUU